rnacentral:misc_RNA from 1 species
AAAUGAUUAUUAGCUUUUCCUAAUCUGGAAGCUUGCUUGCUUUUCAUGAAUCAAAGUGGUUUUAAGUUUAUGUUAAUUGGGAGAGUACUAUGUGGGCCAUCUCUUGUUUAAUUGUUUUUGCUGCUUCCAAGCCUUCCUUGUGUGUUGUUUCUAUGCUUCUGUAACUUCUAGGAGUAAGCAAUGGUUGCAGAGGAAAUGCUAAAUGCAUAAUUAACUUCUUUUUUUUAUUU